rnacentral:rRNA from 1 species
UACGUAGGGUGCGAGCGUUGUCCGGAAUUAUUGGGCGUAAAGGGCUCGUAGGCGGUUUGUCGCGUCGGGAGUGAAAUCCACUGGCUUAACUGGUGGCUUGCUUUCGAUACGGGCAGACUGGAGGUAUGCAGGGGGAGAACGGAAUUCCUGGUGUAGCGGUGAAAUGCGCAGAUAUCAGGAGGAACACCAAUGGCGAAGGCAGCUCGCUGGAACGGUACUGACGCUGAGGCGCGAAAGCGUGGGGAGCGAACAGG